rnacentral:rRNA from 1 species
GACGAACGCUGGCGGCGUGCUUUACACAUGCAAGUCGAACGGUGAAGGUGGAGCUUGCUCCGCCGGAUCAGUGGCGAACGGGUGAGUAACACGUGGGCAACCUGCCCCUAACUUUGGGAUAACUACUCGAAAGAGUAGCUAAUACCGGAUAUGAAGUCUGUAGGCAUCUACGGAUUUGGAAAGUUUUUCGGUUAGGGAUGGGCCCGCGGUCUAUCAGCUUGUUGGUGAGGUAGUGGCUCACCAAGGCGACGACGGGUAGCCGGCCUGAGAGGGCGACCGGCCACACUGGGACUGAGACACGGCCCAGACUCCUACGGGAGGCAGCAGUGGGGAAUAUUGCGCAAUGGGCGAAAGCCUGACGCAGCAACGCCGCGUGCGGGAUGAAGGCCUUCGGGUUGUAAACCGCUUUCAGCAGGGAAGAAGCGAAAGUGACGGUACCUGCAGAAGAAGCACCGGCUAACUACGUGCCAGCAGCCGCCGUAA